rnacentral:rRNA from 1 species
UGGUCAAGUUACAAAGGGCGCACGGUGGAUGCCUUGGCGCCAGGAGGCGAUGAAGGGCGUGGCAAGCUGCGAUAAGCCUCGGUGAGCCGCAAGCAGGCUUUGACCCGGGGAUGCCCGAAUGGGGAAACCCAGGGCGGUAAAACCGCCCUACCCCGUCCUGAAUCCAUAGGGGCGGGGGGCCCACCGGGGGAACUGAAACAUCUUAGUACCCCGAGGAAAAGAAAUCAAAACGAGAUUCCCUAAGUAGCGGCGAGCGAACGGGGAAGAGCCCAAACCCCUGGACUGUAAGGUGGCAGCCGUUUUUCCAGGGGGGUUUUGGGAAGCCCUCUUCGGAGAUCUGCCAGUCUCCGGGGGAGUCAAAAAACCGCACCCUAGCCGAAGCGGCCUGGAAAGGCCGGCCACAGAGGGUAAAAGCCCCGUAGGCGAAAGGGUCCGGUCUCCCCGAGGGCUAUCCCGAGUACCGCGGGGCACGAGGAAUCCCGCGGGAAGAUGGGAGGACCACCUUCCAAGGCUAAAUACUCCUGGCGACCGAUAGCGGAUAGUACCGUGAGGGAAAGGUGAAAAGCACCCCGGGAGGGGAGUGAAAUAGAACCUGAAACCGUGUGCCUACAAGCAGUCAGAGGCCCAUGCCCAGCCCUCAUUGAGUUCUGGGCGGGCUGAUGGCGUACUUUUUGUAGAACGGGCCGGCGAGUUACGGUAGCGAGCGAGGUUAAGGGUAUACCCGGAGCCGCAGCGAAAGCGAGUCCGAAAGGGCGCCAGUUCGUUGCCGUAGACCCGAAACCGGGUGAUCUACCCAUGGGCAGGGUGAAGCGGGAGUAAAGUUCCGUGGAGGCCCGAACCGACCGGCGUUGAAAAGUCGGCGGAUGACCUGUGGGUAGGGGUGAAAUGCCAAUCGAACCCGGAAAUAGCUGGUUCUCCCCGAAAUAGCUUUAGGGCUAGCCUCAAGGGAGAUUGGCGGAGGUAGAGCUCUGAAAAGGCUAGGGGCGUAAACCACGUUACCGAACCUUUUCAAACUGCGAAUGCUGCCAAUUGCUCCUUGGGAGUCAGACUACGGGGGAUAAGCUUCGUGGUCAAAAGGGAAACAGCCCAGACCAGCAGCUAAGGUCCCCAAGUGCGGGCUAAGUGGGAAAGGAUGUAAGGUCGCUAAAACAACCAGGAUGUUGGCUUAGAAGCAGCCAUCAUUUAAAGAGUGCGUAAUAGCUCACUGGUCGAGUGACUUUGCGCCGAAAAUGUAACGGGGCUAAAGCCCGCCACCGAAGCUCUGGAUCCCGGUAUAUACCGGGGUGGUAGGGGAGCGUACCCCGGGCACAGAAGCCAUACCGGAAGGAGUGGUGGAGCCCGGGGCAGUGAGAAUGCCGGCAUGAGUAAGCGAGAAGGCAGGUGAGAAUCCUGCCCGCCGAAAGCCUUAGGUUUCCUGGGGAAGGCUCGUCCGCCCAGGGUAAGCCGGGACCUAAGCCGAGGCGUAAAGCGUAGGCGAUGGGCAAUCGGUUGAUAUUCCGAUGCCGCCAGUUACCCGCCAUGAGGAUGGGGUGACGCAGAAGGGUAGGCCCAGCGCACCGUUGGUCGUGUGCGUCCAAGCCUGUAGGGCGGAAGGCAGGAAAAUCCGCCUUCCACUAAGCCCGAGAGGUGACGGGGAGCGAAAUUUAAGUAGCGAACUGGCCGAUCCCCCGCUGCCUAGAAAAGCCUCUAACCAGGGUGCUGGCGCCCGUACCGCAAACCGACACAGGUAGGCGAGGAGAGAAUCCUAAGGCGCGCAAGAGAACCUUCGUCAAGGAACUCGGCAAAAUGACCCCGUAACUUCGGGAGAAGGGGUGCCCCGUUAGGGUGGGCAUAAAGGCUUAUGCCUGCCCGAAGGGGCCGCAGAGACCAGGCCCAGGCGACUGUUUACCAAAAACACAGGUGCCUGCUAAGGGGAAACCCGAUGUAUAGGUGCUGACGCCUGCCCGGUGCUGGAAGGUUAAGGGGAAGGGUUAGGGAAACCGAAGCUCUGAACCGAAGCCCCAGUAAACGGCGGCCGUAACUAUAACGGUCCUAAGGUAGCGAAAUUCCUUGUCGGGUAAGUUCCGACCCGCACGAAAGGCGUAACGAUCUGGGCGCUGUCUCGACGAGGGGCUUGGUGAAAUUGUAGUACCCGUGAAGAUGCGGGUUACCUGCGACAGGACAGAAAGACCCCGUGGAGCUUUACUGUAGCCUGACAUUGAAUUUUGGUUCUCCAUGUACAGGAUAGGUGGGAGGCACCGAAGCCGGGACGCCAGUCCCGGUGGAGCCGCCCUUGGGAUACCACCCUUGGAGUGCUGAAGUUCUAACCCAAAGCCGUCACCCGGCUCGGGGACAGUGUCAGGUGGGCAGUUUGACUGGGGCGGUCGCCUCCCAAAAGGUAACGGAGGCGUCCUAAGGUCCGUUCAGCGCGGUUGGGAAUCGCGCGUUAGAGUAUAAAGGCAUAAACGGGCUUGACUGCGAGAGGGACACCUCGAGCAGGGACGAAAGUCGGGCUUAGUGAUCCGGUGGUUCCGAGUGGAAGGGCCAUCGCUCAACGGAUAAAAGCUACCCCGGGGAUAACAGGCUUAUCUCCCCCAAGAGUCCACAUCGACGGGGAGGUUUGGCACCUCGAUGUCGGCUCAUCGCAUCCUGGGGCUGAAGUAGGUCCCAAGGGUUGGGCUGUUCGCCCAUUAAAGCGGUACGUGAGCUGGGUUCAGAACGUCGUGAGACAGUUCGGUCCCUAUCCGUCGCAGGCGCAGGAAACUUGAGAGGGUCUGCCCCUAGUACGAGAGGACCGGGGUGGACGGACCGCUGGUGUACCAGUUGUCCCGCCCGGGGCACCGCUGGGUAGCCAUGUCCGGAAGGGAUAAGCGCUGAAAGCAUCUAAGCGCGAAGCCUGCCUCAAGAUUAGGUUUCCCACCGGGUUAACCGGGUAAGACCCCUGGAAGACUACCAGGUAGAUAGGCCGGAAGUGUAAGGGGGGCAACUCCUUAAGCGGACCGGUACUAAUAGGUCGAGGGCUUGACCAGAU